CUGCAUUCUGUUCUGCAAAAAACUGAGCUUCUUCCGGAGUAAAAAUUCAGAGGGUCCCUUGCCAGAACAGCUUCAGAUUAUAAACACAGCGUCCGACAGUAGGAUCAUCAGGCAGAUCACCAAUGGUUACUGAAACUACACAAGGAGUUCAGCUUGCUGUCACACAUCCAGCAAAUAACAUGAUCAGCGCCUCUUAGAGCAGGAAGAAGCAGUGUAUA